rnacentral:rRNA from 1 species
CCAUGCCUAAUUAGUGGCAGACGGGUGAGUAAUGCAUAGGAAUCUACCUAGUAGUAUGGGAUAGCCACUAGAAAUGGUGGGUAAUACUGUAUAAUCCCUGCGGGGGAAAGAUUUAUCGCUAUUAGAUGAGCCUAUGUUAGAUUAGCUAGUUGGUAGGGUAAAGGCCUACCAAGGCAGUGAUCUAUAGCUGGUCUGAGAGGAUGAUCAGCCACACUGGAACUGAGAUACGGUCCAGACUCCUACGGGAGGCAGCAGUGGGGAAUAUUGGACAAUGGGCGCAAGCCUGAUCCAGCUAUGCCGCGUGAGUGAGGAAGGCCUUAGGGUUGUAAAACUCUUUCAGUAGGGAAGAUAAUG